AUUGAACGCUGGCGGCAGGCCUAACACAUGCAAGUCGAGCGAGCGGCGGACGGGUGAGUAUUGUCUUGGAAACUGCCUGAUGUAGUGGGAUACCUACUGGAAACGGUAGCUAAUACCCCCUACCAUCAAAUGUGCCCAUAUGGGAUUAGCUAGUAGGUGGGGUAACGGCUCACCUAGGCGACGAUGCCUAGCUGGUCUGAGAGGAUGACCAGCCACACGGGAACUGAGACACGGUCCAGACUCCUACGUGAGGCAGCAGGGGGGAAUAUUGCACAAUGGGCGCAAGCCGGAUGCAGCCAUGCCGCGUGUGUGAAGAAGGCCUUCGGGUUGUAAAGCACUUUCAGCGGGGAGGCGUUAACCGCAGAAGAAGCACCGGCUAACUCCGUGCCAGCCGCCGCGGUAAUUC
rnacentral:rRNA from 1 species